rnacentral:rRNA from 1 species
CAGCAGUAGCCGCGGUAAUACAGAGGGUGCGAGCGUUAAUCGGAUUUACUGGGCGUAAAGCGUGCGUAGGCGGCUUCUUAAGUCGGAUGUGAAAUCCCUGAGCUUAACUUAGGAAUUGCAUUCGAUACUGGGAAGCUAGAGUAUGGGAGAGGAUGGUAGAAUUCCAGGUGUAGCGGUGAAAUGCGUAGAGAUCUGGAGGAAUACCGAUGGCGAAGGCAGCCAUCUGGCCUAAUACUGACGCUGAGGUACGAAAGCAUGGGGAGCAAACAGGAUUAGAUACCCCAGUAGUCCCUGUCUCUUAUAC